rnacentral:hammerhead_ribozyme from 1 species
AGUUGGCUGACGAGUCCCAAAUAGCACGAAAUGCGCAUCCUGAAU